GCUGGGCGUGGUGGCACGCGCCUGUAAUCCCAACUACUCAGGAGGCUGAGGCAGGAGAAUCACUUGAACCCAGGAGGCAGAGGUUGCAGUGAGCUGAGGUCAUGCCACUGCACUCCAGCCUGGGCAACAGAGCGAGACUCUGCCUCAA
rnacentral:SRP_RNA from 1 species